rfam:Triticum aestivum genome assembly, contig: Triticum_aestivum_CS42_TGACv1_scaffold_196548_3AL
GAGCUACUCUCUUCAUUCGGAAUUACUUGUCUUAGAUUUAUCUAGAUACGAAUGUAUUUAGCACUAAAAUAAGUCUAGAUACAUAUCUAGACAAAUCCAAGACAAGUAAUUUAAAACGGAGGGAGUACUUC